rnacentral:lncRNA from 1 species
UUCCACUAGAUCCUUGUGCAACAAUACACAAUUAUUCUUGCCAACAUGGAUAGAUUCAUAACCAUGUCCCAUGGCACGUAUGUACUUCAUUGCGUCAUCAUAAGAUGUCGGAAAACAUGCUCCUAGGAAAGCAAGGGAUACCACCUUCAGAAUUGCAUUGAAUGUGACAUUGCUGAUUCGAUAUAAAGACUUGAUAUGAAGUAACUUCAAAACAAAUGUAAAUUGUGUAUAUUUAGAUCCCGGUGACACCUUACGGUUUAUUUAUUCCUUAUAAAUUAUAAUAUUUUCCCUCCAAGCUCUUUAGCAUGGCACAUGUCAGAUAUCAUUUCAACAAGUCCAUCUUUAGUGCCUUCAUCCUCCUCCAUAUCCGAUAUGUGUUCGUUUUCGUGAACCAUUUCCUGAUCACCAUCAUCCUGUGGAACUGCAUUAUCCACAAC